AGAGUACGUGAAACCGCUUAGAGGUAAACGGGUGGAUCCGCAAAGUCGGCCCGGGGAAUUCAACUUGUCGUUGUCGGGCGGCGGGCGUCUGGUUCUAGGGAUCCGUAAAGACCCACCAGGCGUUCGGCCGUCGUCGACGAGUGCACUUUCCUCGGGUAGAGCGCCACGACCGGUUUCGGACGGCGGUCACAAGCCGGACGGGAAGGUGACCUGACAUCCUUCGCGGGGUGGCCAGGUGUUAUAGCCCGUCUAGUGUCGACUCGUCCCGAGACCGAGGAUUUGCCGCACCUCGACUGCUCUCGCCUCUCUGCGUGCGUUCGACUGGGGAAGCCACUGCUUGCAGUUCUCUCCGACCGCGUGCGUGGAUCUGUCGGGAAGCAACGGGGUGCCACGGGUCAGUGGCGAAUCGGUCGGUCCUCCACCCGAC
rnacentral:rRNA from 1 species